rnacentral:tRNA from 1 species
GCCCCCGUAGGCUAACGGAUAGACCAAGUCGCUUCUAUCGACAGAGUGAGGGUUCGAUUCCUUCCGGGGGCA